rnacentral:rRNA from 1 species
UACAGAGGGUGCAAGCGUUAAUCGGAAUUACUGAGCGUAAAGCGUGCGCAGACGGUUGCGUAAGUCAGAUGUGAAAGCCCCGGGCUCAACCUGGGAAUUGCAUUUGAGACUGCGUAGCUAGGGUGCGGAAGAGGGAAGCGGAAUUUCCGGUGUAGCGGUGAAAUGCGUAGAUAUCGGAAGGAACACCAGUGGCGAAAGCGGCUUCCUGGUCCAGCACCGACGUUCAGGCACGAAAGCGUGGGGAGCAAACAGG